rnacentral:rRNA from 1 species
UACGUAGGGUGCAAGCGUUAAUCGGAAUUACUGGGCGUAAAGCGUGCGCAGGCGGUUUUGUAAGUCCCGACGUGAAAUCCCCAGGCUUAACCUGGGAACUGCGUCGGAUACUGGAUGGCUUGAAUUCGGGAGAGGGAUGCAGAAUUCCAGGUGUAGCGGUGAAAUGCGUAGAUAUCUGGAGGAAUACCGGUGGCGAAGGCGGCAUCCUGGACCGACAUUGACGCUGAACGGCGAAAGCUAAGGGGAGCGAAACAAGGAGUUA